AGUGAACGCUGGCGGUAGGCCUAACACAUGCAAGUCGAACGGCAGCACAGUAAGAGCUUGCUCUUACGGGUGGCGAGUGGCGGACGGGUGAGGAAUACAUCGGAAUCUACUUUUUCGUGGGGGAUAACGUAGGGAAACUUACGCUAAUACCGCAUACGACCUACGGGUGAAAGCAGGGGAUCUUCGGACCUUGCGCGAUUGAAUGAGCCGAUGUCGGAUUAGCUAGUUGGCGGAGUAAAGGCCCACCAAGGCGACGAUCCGUAGCUGGUCUGAGAGGAUGAUCAGCCACACUGGAACUGAGACACGGUCCAGACUCCUACGGGAGGCAGCAGUGGGGAAUAUUGGACAAUGGGCGCAAGCCUGAUCCAGCCAUACCGCGUGGGUGAAGAAGGCCUUCGGGUUGUAAAGCCCUUUUGUUGGGAAAGAAAAGCAGCAGGCUAAUACCCCGCUGUUCUGACGGUACCCAAAGAAUAAGCACCGGCUAACUUCGUG
rnacentral:rRNA from 1 species